rnacentral:rRNA from 1 species
ACGGGUGAGUAAUAUAUCGGAACGUGCCCUGUAGUGGGGGAUAACUAGUCGAAAGAUUAGCUAAUACCGCAUACGACCUGAGGGUGAAAGUGGGGGACCGCAAGGCCUCAUGCUAUAGGAGCGGCCGAUGUCUGAUUAGCUAGUUGGUGGGGUAAAGGCCCACCAAGGCGACGAUCAGUAGCUGGUCUGAGAGGACGAUCAGCCACACUGGGACUGAGACACGGCCCAGACUCCUACGGGAGGCAGCAGUGGGGAAUUUUGGACAAUGGGGGCAACCCUGAUCCAGCAAUGCCGCGUGUGUGAAGAAGGCCUUCGGGUUGUAAAGCACUUUUGUCCGGAAAGAAAUCGCACUUACUAAUAUUAGGUGUGGAUGACGGUACCGGAAGAAUAAGGACCGGCUAACUACGUGCCAGCAGCCGCGGUAAUACGUAGGGUCCAAGCGUUAAUCGGAAUUACUGGGCGUAAAGCGUGCGCAGGCGGUUGUGCAAGACCGAUGUGAAAUCCCCGGGCUUAACCUGGGAAUUGCAUUGGUGACUGCACGGCUAGAGUGUGUCAGAGGGGGGUAGAAUUCCACGU